GAUGAGCGCUAGCGGCAGGCCUAAUACAUGCAAGUCGAACGGGCGGUAGCAAUACCGCUAGUGGCGCACGGGUGCGUAACGCGUAACCAACCUGCCCAGAUCUGGGGGAUAGCCCGCCGAAAGGCGGAUUAAUACCGCAUAAACCCACAGUGUGGCAUCACAUAAUGGGUAAAGAUUUAUCGGAUCUGGAUGGGGUUGCGUAGCAUUAGCUAGUUGGCGGGGUAAUGGCCCACCAAGGCGACGAUGCUUAGGGGACCUGAGAGGGUGAUCCCCCACACUGGCACUGAGAUACGGGCCAGACUCCUACGGGAGGCAGCAGUAGGGAAUAUUGGGCAAUGGGCGAGAGCCUGACCCAGCCAUGCCGCGUGCCGGAUGAAGGCCUUCUGGGUUGUAAACGGCUUUUCUCAGGGAAGAAAACGGGGAUGCGUCCUCAACUGACGGUACCUGAGGAAUAAGCACCGGCUAACUCCGUG
rnacentral:rRNA from 1 species